GUCAAUGGGCUAUGAACGAGAGCAAGU
rnacentral:piRNA from 1 species